CAGUCGAACGAACUCUGGUAUUGAUUGGUGCUUGCAUCAUGAUUUACAUUUGAGUGAGUGGCGAACUGGUGAGUAACACGUGGGAAACCUGCCCAGAAGCGGGGGAUAACACCUGGAAACAGAUGCUAAUACCGCAUAACAACUUGGACCGCAUGGUCCGAGUUUGAAAGAUGGCUUCGGCUAUCACUUUUGGAUGGUCCCGCGGCGUAUUAGCUAGAUGGUGGGGUAACGGCUCACCAUGGCAAUGAUACGUAGCCGACCUGAGAGGGUAAUCGGCCACAUUGGGACUGAGACACGGCCCAAACUCCUACGGGAGGCAGCAGUAGGGAAUCUUCCACAAUGGACGAAAGUCUGAUGGAGCAACGCCGCGUGAGUGAAGAAGGGUUUCGGCUCGUAAAACUCUGUUGUUAAAGAAGAACAUAUCUGAGAGUAACUGUUCAGGUAUUGACGGUAUUUAACCAGAAAGCCACGGCUAACUACGUGCCAGCAGCCGCGGUAAUACGUAGGUGGCAAGCGUUGUCCGGAUUUAUUGGGCGUAAAGCGAGCGCAGGCGGUUUUUUAAGUCUGAUGUGAAAGCCUUCGGCUCAACCGAAGAAGUGCAUCGGAAACUGGGAAACUUGAGUGCAGAAGAGGACAGUGGAACUCCAUGUGUAGCGGUGAAAUGCGUAGAUAUAUGGAAGAACACCAGUGGCGAAGGCGGCUGUCUGGUCUGUAACUGACGCUGAGGCUCGAAAGUAUGGGUAGCAAACAGGAUUAGAUACCCUGGUAGUCCAUACCGUAAACGAUGAAUGCUAAGUGUUGGAGGGUUUCCGCCCUUCAGUGCUGCAGCUAACGCAUUAAGCAUUCCGCCUGGGGAGUACGGCCGCAAGGCUGAAACUCAAAGGAAUUGACGGGGGCCCGCACAAGCGGUGGAGCAUGUGGUUUAAUUCGAAGCUACGCGAAGAACCUUACCAGGUCUUGACAUACUAUGCAAAUCUAAGAGAUUAGACGUUCCCUUCGGGGACAUGGAUACAGGUGGUGCAUGGUUGUCGUCAGCUCGUGUCGUGAGAUGUUGGGUUAAGUCCCGCAACGAGCGCAACCCUUAUUAUCAGUUGCCAGCAUUAAGUUGGGCACUCUGGUGAGACUGCCGGUGACAAACCGGAGGAAGGUGGGGAUGACGUCAAAUCAUCAUGCCCCUUAUGACCUGGGCUACACACGUGCUACAAUGGAUGGUACAACGAGUUGCGAACUCGCGAGAGUAAGCUAAUCUCUUAAAGCCAUUCUCAGUUCGGAUUGUAGGCUGCAACUCGCCUACAUGAAGUCGGAAUCGCUAGUAAUCGCGGAUCAGCAUGCCGCGGUGAAUACGUUCCCGGGCCUUGUACACACCGCCCGUCACACCAUGAGAGUUUGUAACACCCAAAGUCGGU
rnacentral:rRNA from 2 species